rnacentral:lncRNA from 1 species
UGGGUGGCCGCUGCCGCCCGCGAGGCCCACUUCCGGUGUGUGUGCGGUGGGGGUGCGGGGUCGGCCCGGGAUCGCGGAGGCGGGACUUCCGGCGGGAAGGCAACCGCCAGCGGAACCUGCUUGCCCAGGCCUCUCGUGCUGGGAGCAGUGUUGGCUCUCACAGUGGCCUGUGAGGUUCCCGCAGGGGCCUCAGAAACUCCUGGCCCCGCUCGAUAGUGGGCUUGUGCGCUGCUCAGAACUCCUGCCUCCAGUGGAGACUGAUGCUCGGGGCCCGAAGCAUCCACAGCGCCAGGGACUGGGGAGAGCAGAGCCCAGAAACGCAUUUCCUGAAUUACAGCAAUUCCAACAA